rnacentral:rRNA from 1 species
AGAGUUUGAUCAUGGCUCAGAACGAACGCUGGCGGCAUUGCCUAACACAUUGCAAGUCGAACGAGGUUUCCACUUCGGUGGUUUCCUAGUGGCGCACGGGUGAGUAACGCGUGGGAACCUGCCCUGUGGUACGGAAUAACUCCGGGAAACUGGAGCUAAUACCGUAUGCGUCCUUUGGGACAAAGAUCCAUCGCCAUGGGAUGGGCCCGCGUAGGAUUAGCUUGUUGGCGGGGUAACGGCCCACCAAGGCUACGAUCCUUAGCUGGUCUGAGAGGAUGAUCAGCCACACUGGGACUGAGACACGGCCCAGACUCCUACGGGAGGCAGCAGUGGGGAAUAUUGGACAAUGGGCGCAAGCCUGAUCCAGCAAUGCCGCGUGAGUGAUGAAGGCCUUCGGGUUGUAAAGCUCUUUCGCACGCGACGAUGAUGACGGUAGCGUGAGAAGAAGCCCCGGCUAACUUCGUGCCAGCAGCCGCGGUAAUACGAAGGGGGCUAGCGUUGUUCGGAAUUACUGGGCGUAAAGGGCGCGUAGGCGGUGUGUCAAGUCAGGCGUGAAAGCCCCGGGCUCAACCUGGGAACCGCGCUUGAGACUGGCACGCUCGAGUUCGGGAGAGGAUGGUGGAAUUCCCAGUGUAGAGGUGAAAUUCGUAGAUAUUGGGAAGAACACCGAUGGCGAAGGCAGCCAUCUGGACCGACACUGACGCUGAGGCGCGAAAGCGUGGGGAGCAAACAGGAUUAGAUACCCUAGUAGUCC